rnacentral:lncRNA from 10 species
AGACUUGCCUCAAAGGACAGAGUUCUCUGGAAGAAGAAUCAUGAUAAAGUAGAGGGGUUUUGAGGACACACAGGCAAAAGUAUGGGUACAGUUGCCUUAGGUCUUGGCAGAUGAUGCCCUCGGGCCCCCAUUUUUCCUGUCCUUAGAGACUCCCUGCCCCAGUGGGGACUCAUUGACAACAAUUUCAAGGGGCUGGCCGGAAGCAUGGGUCUUCCUCAUCUGACUGUCAGCUUAUUUCAGCCUACCAUGAAGGGUUCUGGAAGAGUGGGUGAACUGGACUUUGACGAGCCUGUAGAAUGCCAUGCAGGAUGGAGCAGUGACAAAGACAGCAGAAAACACGCGCAGGGACAGCCAAGAUGCAGCAGGUGUGACCGGGGAGGUGGGUGUGGGGAAUGGCUGCAUUCCAGAUGAACAACAGAAAACAAAGCCAUGACUUUGGCGGGGUCUCACAGUGGAGGAUUCAGAGGACAGUCUGAUUGCAACACAUGUUGGUGUUUCUUGGUUACCUGGAGGCCAAUAAAAGAACAGAAAUUCUGGGCCGGGUGCGGAGGCUCACGUCUGUAAUCCCAGGACUAUGGGAGGCUGAGGCAGGCGGAUCACCUGAGGUCAGGAAUUUGAGACCAGCCUGACCAACACGGAGAAACCCCAUCUCUACUAAAAAUACAAACAAUUAGCCUGGCAUGGUGGCGCAUGCCUGUAAUCCCAGCUAUUCAGGAGGCUGAGGCAGGAGAAUCACUGGAACCCGGGAGGCAGAGGUUGUGGUGAGCCGAGAUCUCACCACUGCAUUCCAGCCUGGGUGACAGAGUGAGACUCCAUCUCAAAAAAAAAAAACAAACACACACUCUCAACAGCAGUGCUUGGAGGUCAUGUAAAGUCAAGGUCCGUGUUUUCCCAACUGGGCUCUAAGGGAUUUAGGGGGAUUCCACUCACCCCUCACAGAGGAGAGAGAAAGGCUGUAGGAGACGGGCUCUAAGCCCUCCUCACCCAUGGCAUCUCUGAUUUGACCUGUUGUACAUUUCCGGCUUCCAUAUUGGAUGUUUGUGGUAUAAGGAAUUUCACAGCUGGAACAUGUUGAAAAUCCACACAGCACAACCAAGUUGUGCUGAAGAGUUGAGAACCAGAGACGGCAAAGACACCAUUUUCCCAAGCUAAGGCUCUCACACACACAGCCACAACCUCCUCACUUCACCCCAGCCACCAACGGCAGUGACGGGAACACCGAAGGGAUGACCACAAAAAUGCCCCUUGGUUCAGGAAUCUGAAUUUGUAGGAAAGCCUGACUCUUAUCUGGCAAAGAAAAAAAGGGACAGUGGUUUUCCUGAAGGUGACGAGAAACACACAGUGUAAAUCCCAUGUCCUGGGACGAAAGGUAUUUACGCAAAUCUGCCUGGGUCUCUGUUGCCAGGGAUACUACUCACUGGGCACCCGACUGGCCCCAUCAUGAAGCUUCUGACAGCAGGAAAACACCAGUCAGCCCUGUAACGAUCAGCCACAAAGUCAUCCACCAGGGCGAUUCAGGUCAUCCACCCCACCUCAAUUGUGUUUGUUAGGGACAAAUAUUUAGAAGUUUCAUGUUUGUGGGAUUAUCUCAAUGUCUUUGCAGUCUGGAGGGUGUCUUUACAGAGCUGAAUGAGUCAAGUGCCUAUUCUGAUGCCAUAGAAUCAUAUAAUUAAAAAGGUCCUUAAAAGAUGACGUCACUCCAGCUCAAUGGGUUGGGGGAUCUCCUCUGGGAGAAAUGUUUUGGAUCUAGACAGAGGGGCAUUACACAACAUUGUCAAUGUAGUAAAUGCCACUAAAUUUGCACCUGAAAAUGGUUAAUUUUUUGUUGUGUGAAUUUCAUCUCAAUUUUUAAAAAAGAUUAUAUCGUUCAGUCUUUUAUUUUGAAGAUGUGGGAACAAGUAGUGGGAGGAUGGUAUCCAAAGCCCACUCAGGGUGCAGGCAGGUCCCUAACACACCGAUCACCCUGCCCAGACUUCAACCUAAUCAUUCCCGCUUCGCUACAUGGCCUGUGCUGUCGUAAGGCAGUGAGCUCAGGGCUGAAUGUACCCAGCAGAGAAAAUUCAUAUCCUCAAAAACUCUCUCCCCAGAAGUUUUGUGAUUUUGUUUGUUCAUGUAUUUUUUCCCACAAUAAGGAAAUAAAAAUGUAUCUAGACUUACA